AGCUACCCCGGGGAUAACAGGCUUAUCUCCCCCAAGAGUCCACAUCGACGGGGAGGUUUGGCACCUCGAUGUCGGCUCAUCGCAUCCUGGGGCUGUAGUCGGUCCCAAGGGUUGGGCUGUUCGCCCAUUAAAGCGGUACGCGAGCUGGGUUCAGAACGUCGUGAGACAGUUCGGUCCCUAUCCGUCGCGGGCGCAGGAAAUUUGAGAGGAGCUGUCCUUAGUACGAGAGGACCGGGAUGGACGCACCGCUGGUGUACCAGUUGUCUUGCCAAAGGCAUAGCUGGGUAGCUACGUGCGGACGGGAUAAGUGCUGAAAGCAUCUAAGCAUGAAGCCCCCCUCAAGAUGAGAUUUCCCAUGGCGCAAGCUAGUAAGAUCCCUGAAAGAUGAUCAGGUUGAUAGGUCAGAGGUGGAAGCGUGGCGACAUGUGGAGCUGACUGAUACUAAUAGAUCGAGGACUUAACCAAC
rnacentral:rRNA from 1 species